rnacentral:rRNA from 1 species
CGAAAGCCUGACGGAGCAAGACCGCGUGAGGGAGGAAGGCUCUUGGGUUGUAAACCUCUUUUCUCAGGGAAGAAGACUGACGGUACCUGAGGAAUCAGCCUCGGCUAACUCCGUGCCAGCAGCCGCGGUAAUACGGAGGAGGCAAGCGUUAUCCGGAAUUAUUGGGCGUAAAGCGUCCGCAGGUGGCGAUUCAAGUCUGCUGUUAAAGGUCGGAGCUAAACUCCGGUAGAGCAGUGGAAACUGGUGCGCUAGAGGGCGACAGGGGUAGAGGGAAUUCCCAGUGUAGCGGUGAAAUGCGUAGAGAUCGGGAAGAACAUCGGUGGCGAAAGCGCUCUACUGGGUCGCACCUGACCCUCAGGGACGAAAGCUAGGGGAGCG